rnacentral:rRNA from 1 species
UACGGGGGGAGCAAGCGUUGUUCGGAUUUACUGGGCGUAAAGGGCGCGUAGGCGGUCGUGACAAGUCACUUGUGAAAUCUCCGGGCUUAACUCGGAACGGUCAAGUGAUACUGUCGGACUAGAGUACAGAAGGGGCAACUGGAAUUCUCGGUGUAGCGGUGAAAUGCGUAGAUAUCAAGAGGAACACCUGCGGCGAAGGCGGGUUGCUGGGCCGACACUGACGCUGAUGCGCGAAAGCUAGGGGAGCGAACGGG